UACGUAGGUGGCAAGCGUUGUCCGGAUUUAUUGGGCGUAAAGCGCGCGCAGGCGGUUCGUUAAGUCCGAGGUGAAAUCUCCCGGCUCAACUGGGAGGGGUCUUUGGAUACUGGCGGACUUGAGGAGUGCAGAGGUGAGUGGAAUUCUGGGUGUAGUGGUGAAAUGCGUAGAUAUCCAGAGGAACACCAGCGGCGAAGGCGGCUCACUGGGCACCACCUGACGCUGAGGCGCGAAAGCGUGGGGAGCGAACCGG
rnacentral:rRNA from 1 species